ANCUGGAUAACUUCGGGAAACCGGAGCUAAUACCGGAUAAUAUAUUGAACCGCAUGGUUCAAUAGUGAAAGACGGUUUUGCUGUCACUUAUAGAUGGAUCCGCGCCGCAUUAGCUAGUUGGUAAGGUAACGGCUUACCAAGGCAACGAUGCGUAGCCGACCUGAGAGGGUGAUCGGCCACACUGGAACUGAGACACGGUCCAGACUCCUACGGGAGGCAGCAGC
rnacentral:rRNA from 1 species